rnacentral:rRNA from 1 species
UGGGGAAUUUUGGACAAUGGGGGAAACCCUGAUCCAGCCAUCCCGCGUGUGCGAUGAAGGCCUUCGGGUUGUAAAGCACUUUUGGCAGGAAAGAAACGUCGCGGGUUAAUACCCCGCGAAACUGACGGUACCUGCAGAAUAAGCACCGGCUAACUACGUGCCAGCAGCCGCGGUAAUACGUAGGGUGCAAGCGUUAAUCGGAAUUACUGGGCGUAAAACGUGCGCAGGCGGUUCGGAAAGAAAGAUGUGAAAUCCCAGAGCUUAACUUUGGAACUGCAUUUUUAACUACCGGGCUAGAGUGUGUCAGAGGGAGGUGGAAUUCCGCGUGUAGCAGUGAAAUGCGUAGAUAUGCGGAGGAACACCGAUGGCGAAGGCAGCCUCCUGGGAUAACACUGACGCUCAUGCACGAAAGCGUGGGGAGCAAACAGGAUUAGAUACCCUGGUAGUCCACGCCCUAAACGAUGUCAACUAGCUGUUGGGGCCUUCGGGCCUUGGUAGCGCAGCUAACGCGUGAAGUUGACCGCCUGGGGAGUACGGUCGCAAGAUUAAAACUUAAAGGAAUUGACGGGGGU